GAUGAACGCUGGCGGCGUGCCUAAUACAUGCAAGUCGAGCGAACAGACGAGGAGCUUGCUCCUCUGACGUUAGCGGCGGACGGGUGAGUAACACGUGGAUAACCUACCUAUAAGACUGGGAUAACUUCGGGAAACCGGAGCUAAUACCGGAUAAUAUAUUGAACCGCAUGGUCCAAUAGUGAAAGACGGUUUUGCUGUCACUUAUAGAUGGAUCCGCGCCGCAUUAGCUAGUUGGUAAGGUAACGGCUUACCAAGGCAACGAUGCGUAGCCGACCUGAGAGGGUGAUCGGCCACACUGGAACUGAGACACGGUCCAGACUCCUACGGGAGGCAGCAGUAGGGAAUCUUCCGCAAUGGGCGAAAGCCUGACGGAGCAACGCCGCGUGAGUGAUGAAGGUCUUCGGAUCGUAAAACUCUGUUAUUAGGGAAGAACAAAUGUGUAAGUAACUAUGCACGUCUUGACGGUACCUAAUCAGAAAGCGACGGCUAACUACGUG
rnacentral:rRNA from 1 species